rnacentral:rRNA from 1 species
ACCGGCGCACGGGUGCGUAACGCGUAUGCACCUACCUUAUACAGAGGGAUAGCCCAGAGAAAUUUGGAUUAAUACCUUAUAGUAAGGCAUCUGUAAAGAUUUAUCGGUAUAAGAUGGGCAUGCGUAAGAUUAGUUAGUUGGUGAGGUAACGGCUCACCAAGACUUCGAUCUUUAGGGGUUCUGAGAGGAUGAUCCCCCACACUGGUACUGAGAUACGGACCAGACUUCUACGGGAGGCAGCAGUAGGGAAUAUUGGUCAAUGGGCGAGAGCCUGAACCAGCCAUGCCGCGUGCAGGAAGACGGCCUUCGGGUUGUAAACUGCUUUUAUAUGGGAAGAAAACGGCCUUGCGAGGCAGAUUGACGGUACCAUAUGAAUAAGCACCGGCUAACUCCGUGCCAGCAGCCGCGGUAAUACGGAGGGUGCAAGCGUUGUCCGGAUUUAUUGGGUUUAAAGGGUACGUAGGCGGCCAAUUAAGUCAGUGGUGAAAGCCAGCAGCUCAACUGUUGAACUGCCAUUGAUACUGAUUGGCUCGAGUUCUGUUAAGGUAGGCGGAAUUGAUGGUGUAGCGGUGAAAUGCAUAGAUACCAUCAGACACGAUUGCGAACGCAGCUUACUAGCCAGAAACUGACGCUAUGUACGAAAGCGUUGAGAAUCGACAGAUUAGAUACCUUGGUUAGCCACGCUCG